rnacentral:rRNA from 1 species
AUUGAACGCUGGCGGCAGGCCUAACACAUGCAAGUCGAACGAGUGGCGGACGGGUGAGUAAUGUAUGGGAACCUGCCUGAUGGCGGGGGAUAACUACUGGAAACAGUACCUAAUACCGCAUACCAUCAGAUGGACCCAGAUGUGAUUAGCUAGUAGGUGGGGUAAAGGCUAACCUAGGCGACGAUCCCUAGCUGGUCUGAGAGGAUGACCAGCAAACCUGGAACUGGGACACGGCCCAGACUCCUACGGGAGGAAGCAGUGGGGAAUAUUGCACAAGGGGCGCAAGCCUGAUGCAGCAAUGCCGCGUGUAUGAAGAAGGCCUUCGGGUUGUAAAGUACGUUCAGCGGGGAGGCGUUACCCGCAGAAGAAGCACCGGCUAACUCCGUGCCAGCAGCCGCGGUAAUAC